rnacentral:rRNA from 1 species
ACAGGCUUAACACAUGCAAGUCGAGGGGCAGCAUUUUAGUUUGCUUGCAAACUAAAGAUGGCGACCGGCGCACGGGUGAGUAACACGUAUCCAACCUGCCGAUAACUCAGGGAUAGCCUUUCGAAAGAAAGAUUAAUACCUGAUGGCAUAGGAUUAUCGCAUGAUAAUCCUAUUAAAGAAUUUCGGUUAUCGAUGGGGAUGCGUUCCAUUAGGCAGUUGGUGAGGUAACGGCUCACCAAACCUUCGAUGGAUAGGGGUUCUGAGAGGAAGGUCCCCCACAUUGGAACUGAGACACGGUCCAAACUCCUACGGGAGGCAGCAGUGAGGAAUAUUGGUCAAUGGACGGGAGUCUGAACCAGCCAAGUAGCGUGAAGGAUGACUGCCCUAUGGGUUGUAAACUUCUUUUAUACGGGAAUAAAGUGAUCCACGUGUGGGUUUUUGUAUGUACCGUAUGAAUAAGGAUCGGCUAACUCCGUGCCAGCAGCCGCGGUAAUACGGAGGAUCCGAGCGUUAUCCGGAUUUAUUGGGUUUAAAGGGAGCGUAGGUGGAUUGUUAAGUCAGUUGUGAAAGUUUGCGGCUCAACCGUAAAAUUGCAGUUGAUACU